UGACCUAGCCAAUUCAUUAGCGGGAGAAAGACUACAGAUGCUCAGUAUGGGCACGUACCGCGCCAAAGACCAC
rnacentral:rRNA from 1 species